GGAUAUUGUAAUUCAAUAAUUUUAAAUAAAAAAAAAAGGUACGCCGAUCUCGUCUGAUUUCAGAAGCUAAGCAGGGUCGGGCCUGCUUAGUACUUGGCUGGGAGACCGCCUGGGAAUACCAGGUGCUGUAAGCA
rnacentral:rRNA from 1 species